rnacentral:lncRNA from 1 species
AUGAACCUGGUUUCUGUUCAGCCGUUGCCUCUCACAGCCAAAAUUACCUUGCAGCUAAUCAAAGUCACAGAGAGAAUACUGAAACCGGAACCCACCAGAUACCACGUUUUUAGGAGGAUACCUAGAGUAAAUCGGAUUACAUUUUCUAAGAUUAGUUUUGGCAAUGGACCCCGCAUUUCUGAAUCCAUCCUGUGGGCUGGAGCCAGGAUACGUACUGAGCAGAGGCUGCAUUAUCUUACUCUUCUCUUGAAGGGUGGAGGUGGCUGGAAACACCAUCAGAUUGCCUUCGAUGAUCUGCUACACGUACGCCAGAUAGGUACCAGGGUCUGGUCACCACAAAGAAGUCACCUCCAGCGUGGUCUCCAGCGGCGUAGCAGCAAGCAGCACGAUUCCCAGGAAGGCCCAGCAGGCGCAUGGGGUGCAGCUGGAACCCUCACAGCUGGUGUCCCUUAAAGCUGCUUUGUUCCUCCUCCUGUGUGUUGGGAAUAGUCAGCUGCAGUCCCUAUUGUCAGCCUUGCUUGGUUCGGGAAGUGAGUUGUUAAUGGCACUGGGCACAACCCUCGAGCCGACACGGGGGUGCUGCUGCGGCUGUAAGGCUGAGGGGUCCCAGGCAGGAGCCGUGAAACCAGAUCAGCGUGCUUCGUGGUGGGGUCCGGGGACUUGGGUAUUCACAACCUGCUAAUAUUCAAAAAAUGUAAUUACAAGUCAGCCUGCUUGAGUUGUGUCCUCCUGUCUGCUCCUGUAGUUUUGGGGCCUUUUUUUGU